AGCAUAUCAAUAAGCGGAGGAAAAGAAACCAACAGGGAUUGCCUUAGUAACGGCGAGUGAAGCGGCAACAGCUCAAAUUUGAAAGCUGGCCCUUUCAGGGUCCGCGUUGUAAUUUGUAGAGGAUGAUUCGGCGAGGGCUCCCGCCUAAGUCCCCUGGAACGGGGCGUCAUAGAGGGUGAGAAUCCCGUAUGCGGUGGGCUGCCUUAGCCAUGUGAAUCUCCUUCGACGAGUCGAGUUGUUUGGGAAUGCAGCUCUAAAUGGGAGGUAAAUUUCUUCUAAAGCUAAAUACCGGCCAGAGACCGAUAGCGCACAAGUAGAGUGAUCGAAAGAUGAAAAGCACUUUGGAAAGAGAGUUAAAAAGUACGUGAAAUUGUUGAAAGGGAAGCGCUUGCAACCAGACUUGUCCGCAGUUGCUCAGCCGGUCUCCUGACCGGCGUACUCUUCUGCGGCCAGGCCAGCAUCAGUUCGGGCGGUCGGAUAAAGACCUCGGGAAUGUGGCUCCUCUCGGGGAGUGUUAUAGCCCGGGGUGGAAUGCGGCCAGCCUGGACUGAGGAUCUCGCUUCGGCAAGGAUGCUGGCGUAAUGGUUGUAAGCGGCCCGUCUUGAAACACGGACCAAGGAGUCUAACAUCUAUGCGAGUGUUUGGGUGUCAAACCCAUACGCGUAAUGAAAGUGAACGGAGGUGGGAACCCGCAAGGGCGCACCAUCGGCCGAUCCUGAUGUCUUCGGAUGGAUUUGAGCAAGAGCAUAGCUGUUGGGACCCGAAAGAUGGUGAACUAUGCCUGAAUAGGGUGAAGCCAGAGGAAACUCUGGUGGAGGCUCGCAGCGGUUCUGACGUGCAAAUCGAUCGUCAAAUUUGGGUAUAGGGGCGAAAGACUAAUCGAACCAUCUAGUAGCUGGUCCUGC
rnacentral:rRNA from 1 species